AGCAACACCACAUUGAAAAACCGGCAUCUGUACGAUCACCGAAGUUAAGCAACAUGGAGCUUGGUCAGUACCUAGACGGGUUACUACUUGGGAAUACCAGGUGCUGUAU